GUUCUUUGACAAAGUUUUUGAAACUGGAAUUCCUGAUAGCAUUUUUGACCAGGAUUGUUUUGUCUGCAGUCAUUUUCUUCCUGUUUCACCAAUACUUCAGUAAAAAGGAGUUUGGAAGGCCAGAAGAAACGGCUGAGAUGGAGAACAUGGCAGAUGAUCCACAGACAGAUGACGAUUAUCAGCAGGUGGACACUGAACUGGAAGAAUGAAGUCCAGAACCUGAACAUGGAGAGGGAGA